CCUACGGGAGGCUGCAGUGGGGAAUAUUGGGCAAUGGGCGCAAGCCUGACCCAGCAACGCCGCGUGAAGGAAGAAGGCUUUCGGGUUGUAAACUUCUUUUCUCAGGGACGAAGCAAGUGACGGUACCUGAGGAAUAAGCCACGGCUAACUACGUGCCAGCAGCCGCGGUAAUACGUAGGGGGCAAGCGUUAUCCGGAUUUACUGGGUGUAAAGGGCGUGUAGGCGGGGACGCAAGUUAGAUGUGAAAACCACGGGCGCAACCUGGGGCCUGCAUUUGAAACUGUGUUUCUUGAGUGCUGGAGAGGCAGACGGAAUUCCGAGUGUAGCGGUGAAAUGCGUAGAUAUUAGGAGGAACACCAGUGGCGAAGGCGGUCUGCUGGACAGCAACUGACGCUGAGGCGCGAAAGCGUGGGGAGCAAACAGGAUUAGAUACCCCUGUAGUC
rnacentral:rRNA from 1 species